rnacentral:lncRNA from 1 species
GGGGCGGCGCAGCCCCGCGCGGUUGUGGGAUCGCUCCCGGGGGCCGCUCCUCUCUCGGGCACUGGGGUCGCGGGAGACGUCGUCGGGAGCUCGGUUUCUGGAGGCCCUUCCCCACCCGGCCUCUGCCUCCUCCACUCCCCCGGGCUGGACGGAACGGGGCCCAGCGCGGGAUGCGAGAGGUAUGAUUUCGCUCUGUCGCCCAGGCUGGAGGGCAGUGGCGCAAUCUCGGCUCACUGCAGCCUCGAACUCCUAGGCUGAAGCGAUUCUCCCGCCUCAGCCUCCAAAGUAGCCGGUACUACAGGCGCGCGCCACCACGCCUGGCUAAGGUGUGUGUGUGUGUGUGUGUGUGUGUGUCUCCAAAGUAGCGAGGACUACGGGUGUGUGUGUGUGUGUGUGUCUCCAAAGUAGCGAGGACUACAGGCUCCCGCCACUACGCCAGGCUAAGGUAGGGUGUGUAUGUGUGUUAACUUUUUGUAGAGAUGGGAUCUCCCUUUGUAACACGGGCGCCCGCCACUAAGCCAGGCUAAGGUGGUGAAUGUGUGUGUGUGUGUGUGUUAACUUUUUGUAGAGAUGGGAUCUCGCUUCGUAACCCGGGCUGGUAUCGAACUCCUGUCUUCAAGGAAUCCUCCCGUCUGGACUCCUCCCAUGGGAUUACGGGCAUGAGCCACGGCACCUGGCUAUUUUUUUUUUCUAAGCAUUUAAAUAAGCUGGGGCUUGAUUUGGGAGUUUUCUAUUGUAUUUUGAGCUUUGCCGAGGACUUGAUAGUGACCUUGCUUUAAGCUGUGAAAUAAAUCUUGGGGUCCCAGAGCUAUUUUAAUAUUGAAUUCGCUGUGGAGUUGUUUUGAGUUCCUUGGAGGUUAACAUGAGAUAGAAAACUAAGUUAACACAACUCAUCGACUGCCCUUGCUUUGCUUUGCUUUGCUUUUAGAAUGCCAUCGGGUUUUGUCAUGUUGGGAACAAGUUAACUUAGGCCAGUUGACUAAGAUCAAGGAAACUGAGGCCCAGAGAUGAAAUCAUGCCUUGAUUUAUGCAGACCUCAGUACCUGUUCGUGACAAAUCCAGUUACUAAAAGGUAAGAGAAGGAAUAAGGGACUUGAUAUUUAUCUAGCAUCAGCAAUGUGUGGACAUCGUGUGAACGGCUUUAUAAACAUUUCAUUUAAUUCUCUACAUCUAGCCAUUUUUUAACCUGUGCUUUCCCUCCCUCUCAAAGUACUGUUUAUACAUUUAUUAGUCCAUAUUUUAAACGCUCCAUGCUCUCAACUGUAUUAAUGCUAUUUGUUAGGAUAAGUGGCAGAUGUCCAUGGAAAAUAAGUGGCUGCAAAGUGGUAAUGCUGACCAGAUGAGAAAAGAAGUGUAAAAGGGAAGUUCUAAAGAAUUAAAGCCCUGGAGAGGGUGGGUAGACAACAACAGUCCAAAAUAGUGCUCUUCAUUGAGGCUGUGUAGAUUUUCCUGCUUCCUGGGAAAACUGGGGCAUAUUUACACUUGCAUGUGUGUAUUCAGAUUGUCUGGGGCUAUGGAGUUUGGGUCAGAUUGCUGAACCCGUGGGAGAGAAGUUCCCUUGUUGUCUGUUGUUGUCUGUUCUGAUUGCUGCUUUGUAAUUUGGGCCACAUAUGAAAGUCAGCAUCCAGUCAUUGGACCAUAGGUGUGUGGCAUAUCUACUCAGAUGCAUUAAGCUAUUUUUAUUUCAUUAUAAAAUGUAUAACAUUUACAUUCAAAUUAUGGUUUGAAGGGCUUAAGAGGAGAAAGAGACAGUGGCACUAAGGUGACAGCAUGGCUGGCUGCAUGCUUCCUGUCCAAGAAGGUCACUGGGCAGUGUUAACUGGGAAGAGCAUCUGGAGGAUGAGAGAUCAGUGUAGCCACAUACCCUUAACAAAGGGUGGUACAGCCUCUGGUCUGCCAGGAUUUUUGUGCCCCGCCCCCCUCCCCCUCUUUCCCUAUCUCCUCUUUGACAUUUCCACCAUAUUCCCCUUAGGUAUGUACCUGUUUGGACUUUAAUUUAGAGUGUAACUUUUGGUCAAGAAUCCUGGAGAGAAAAGACGGGUACUAAAGCCUCGCUAGUGAUUUACCUGGGUGCCGACCCCCACAACUCAUCCACCCUACAUGCAUACUUCAAACUCCUCCAGGCAGAUACUCCCUGCCUGACACACAGUGACACUUUGGGAAAAAUUGCAGAACAGUAACCAACUCUGAGCAGAUAAAUGUGAUGUCAAAAUGAUAGUAAUGAGAGAUGUCGUUCGUUGAAAGCCUGCUAGCUGCCAUGCACUAUACUAUUUCUUACAUCUAAAUCUGAUUAAGUUAUACCCCAUUUUAUAAAUAGACACUUUGAUAAGUAAACCUAUCUAAGAUCAAAAUACUGAGAAAUGUCCUAAUUGGGGAUUUGAACCUGGUUCUAAUUCCAAAGUCCAAGCUACAUCCACCCCAACCUCCUACCUCCUAUCUCCAAGACUUUGUGAGUAAAAAAACAAGUGUCACUUCUCUCCUUCUCUUUUUUCUGUCCUAAAGGAAGCUGGGAGCUAACCACUUAGGACUAGUACUAAUCUUUCAGAGAAAGGGAUGAGGGGAGCCUUGUUAUUUCUGUGGGGUUCAGCUCUCAGACCAGAGUAAGACAGGCAACAAGGUUGAGGAGUAGCCAUAUGCAGAAAUAACCUGUGUAUCUAGCCACAGGAUCUCCAACACUGUGUCACUCGGGAAUCAAAAUACAGAGACAGUUCCUCAAUAGAGUGUGGAUCUAGCCCAGAAUGUGGACAAGGGGAGUGGAGAAGGGGAGAGGUACACACUGAGCAUUGUAACAAGGCCUGUCCUCAAGCUUGAGGAGGAUUAGGAAGAUGGCUUGAGUCUGGGAGUAGGAGGCUGCAGUGAGCUAUGAUUGUACCACUGUACCCCAGCCUAGGUGACAGAGUGAGACCCUGUCUCUUAAAAGAAAAAAAAAAUUGACCUGGAUCUACUCAUACCCACCCUGGUCUUUGAGCAGAAAGAAUCAUUUGGGAAUUAUUUUGUCUCAUCUUUCUCCAUGAUCACUGUUGAAGAAUUUGGUCACUGUAACCAGGUAAAUAUAAAACUCAGGUGGGCCGGGCGCGGUGGUUCACACCUGUAAUCCCAGCAGUUUGGGAGGCUGAGGUGAGUGGAUCACGAGGUCAGGAGAUCAAGACCAUCCUGGCUAACACAGUGAAACCCUGUCUCUAUUAAAAAUACAAAAAAUUAGCCAGGCGUGGUGGUGGGCGCCUAUAGCUCCAGCUGCUCGGGAGGCUGAGGCAGGAGAAUGGUGUGAACCCGGGAGGUGGAGGUUGCAGUGAGCCGAGAUCGUGCCACUGCACUCCAGCCUGGGUGACAGAGCAAGACUCCGUCUCAAAAAAAACUCAGAUGAACUAUAGCUAAGUCAGUGCUCUUGACACUUUUUUAGCAAUAGUAGCUUUGUUUCUCACAGAAAAAACAAAAUUUUCUGUGGAACCACACUAUUUAAAACAUAAGCAAUAUUAGUAUCAACUUGUAUAAUUUAUAGAUCUACUGAUAAAAACAAUCAAGAAUAGUCUACCUUAAUUGAAUCAGGAGGAGAUAACUGCAGUCUUACAUCAGCCAUACUCGUAUCCAUGAAAUAUGAGUCAGUCAUUUGCACAACUCCCUGAGUCACCUUCUGGAACACAGAAAACACUGAGCCAAGUUAGCCCAGGACCUGAACCUUUUGUGGAAAGGAAAAUCUGUAGUGUCUCCUCAGAGUAUGGCUGCCCUUUCACCUGGUAGUCAGUUUCUCAUGACGGUUACUCGAGCAUUUAUAAGGCAGUUGUGAAAUAACCAAGACAUUCUGUGUGUUGUGCUACUGAUGCUCCUCCUGUCACCGACCUCCUCUCCAAAUGAGGCCUGCCUUUUGUCCUUGGUAGUAGGCAGUCCACAGUGUAACCAGCUACAGGGGAAGUAUUUACUUUGAUAGCCACUUGACCUUGAUCAAGUCAGGUGACUCAUUUCUGGAUAACAUUUUUGAGAGUAUACUGAGCCAGGCACCUUGAGGAUACGAAAGUGGAUUAUAGUUUCCAUUCUGGAGAAACUCACAGUCCAGUAAGUUAAACAAUCACAAGAACAAGUUUCCAGCAAUGAGAGUGAUUACAGCCACUGAGUGGUGAAAUCUGAGAAAUGCAAAGCCUGCCGCCUAUAAAUACCUACAUUUAUCGCCUGGGCAUAUACCUAAAAUUCCACCAUGAGAAAUAUAUUUAUAUGAAAUUAGAAACUACCCAGAAAUUGUGCGUCCAAAUAAAAAUUCCCACAAGAAAUAAGGAUGGCUAAUAGUUUUAAGUAGUAGUGUCAAGUCUUUUGGACCAGAGUAACUGCCAGGGACGUUGUGUUGAGGAUUCUGAGGUCAUGUUCCAGCUUAGCCGAGAAGGGAGCCACCAUGAGGGAACGAGUGAGGGAGGGUAGCACUUGUGCCCCAUAUUUUUUCCUAAGUAAAUCAUUUGUUGAUGGAAUGCAUGAUGAAACAGGGACAGCCAGGGUCUCUGGCAUCUGGGAGAAAGCCCACUUGGAAACUGAUUUAUCUACCUCACCACUGCAAGUUCACCAUUUGUCCCCAGACUAAAUGGCCUUAGGAAGCCCAGGCUCUGUCUUGUCGAACUCUACCUUCUUUAUCCUUCCAUACUUUUCAAGAAGAGAAAUGGUAUAUAUAUGUGGGAUCCUUGAGAACUAGGAUGUACCUGUGAGCAGGCAAAGUGUAGCAUCUAGCAGGGUCAGGCAUAAGUUGGAAGUGAGAGAGGUGGCUACUGUGCUCCCCAAUGGCUGUUCUCCCAUCUCCCAUAGUUUCAAGGCCUGUUUUGUGAGGAACAGCAGUAUGCCCAGCUCAAAGAUGACAGCUGGCCACAGGACUAAGUCUGGCCAACAUGGCAAAACCCCGUCUCUACUAAACAUACAAAAAUUAGCCGGGCAUGGCCGUGCCGCAUGCCUGUAAUCCCAGCUACUCAGGAGGCUGAGGAGGGAGAACUGCUUGAACCCAGGAGGUGGAGGUUUGCAGUGAGCUGAGAUGUUGCCACUGCACUCCAGCCUGCACGACAGGAGCGAGCCUCCAUCUCAAAAAAAAAAAAAAAAUAAAAGCUGCCUCUUCUCUGCUUCUUGGAGUAUGGUCAGGAUAGCUGGAAUUCUAGCAUCCAGUUUUGAAUGCCAAGUGACCUUGAAGAUAGAAGCCAUGAACUAAGAUAAUGUCCCUGUGUAAGCUUCUUUUACAUGAGAGAAAUAAACUGUGUGUAUAAAUCAUUGUUAUUUUGAAUUCCCAAGUUGUAUGCAGGCAAAUGUAAUCCCGAUCUAGCCAGGAAUUGGUAUUAUUCAUUGAUAAGAGCUUCAUAUAUUCAUGUUGACAGUUUUCCUUGAUUGGCCCCCAGAUGAUAGGUAUUGUGACCAAGACCUGUGGGGCUAUCAUGUGUACUUGGCUCCCUAUAGGAGAAUCCAGGAUGGAAUGGAAUGAUACAGUAGGCAGCCUCUGGAGCCAAGAUACGGUAUAGGUAGGAAAAAGAAAUGAUUCACCCAAGAGGCAGAUUAGGCCCAUGAAAAUUAGGAUUGUCAGAUGCAUUACUUUAAUACAGCACUUCUUCAGUAUUCCCAGAACUGUAGCUAAUGGUUCCUCUGAAUAGGAAGCUCCUUGAAUAUACCCUGGCAAGAAAUCUUUCUAUCCAAGGUGACUGGCAUUGGGAGGGGAUUUAUUGAGUGUCUCCCUCGAGCCAGGCACUUUCACAUACCUUAAUCUUAGUUAACUGGCUUCACUUCAGACCCUGUCCCUAACAGGACAAAACCCAACAGCAUUUUGAAAGCAAAACAGGGAUAGUUGAUGAGUUGUAUUAACGUACUUGUCUCUGUCUCACGUUAGUAACCUCCAAGGAACUCAAAACGCACUGCAGCUAUAAUUCGACAUUAAAAUAGCCCUGGGCCCCCCAGGAGCAGCUCAAUAGACCCUACUGAAGCAGGCGGUCCUGUCCCUCCCCUGCUUAAAAUCUGUCAGUAGCUUCUCAUUGUUUUUAACUAAAAACCCAGCCCACCUGACAGUCAGGUUGGCCUGCUCGCCAGGCUUUCUCCCCAGCUGCUCAAACCUGCUCACAACUCCCUCUGUGUCUGCCACUCUGGCCUCUCACUUUACUCCUGUGACCUCGUCCCUCUGAGCACCAUUCCUCCCCACCUCUGCAUGUCUUUAAUCUGACUUAAGCUUCAAGGCCUGGCACAAACAAUGCUUUUCCUUUGUCCUUCAUACUGGAGAUCAUAAACUCGCAUAGAUUCUCUCUGAAUAAAUAAAUAUUUUCCAUGCCAGUUAGCAUUUUUUUAAAACUAUAAUGACUGCAAAAUAUAUUGUAUUAGGUGUACUCUAACUUAUUUAACCUCUCCCCAAAGAAUGGACAUUUCAUUUGUUUCUUUUUCAGGAUGAUAAAAAACAGUUACGGGAUGAAAAAAUUUUUUUUUAUUUUUUAUUUUUAGUAGAGAUGGGGUUUCACCAUGUUAGCCAGGAUGAUCUCGAUCUCCUGACCUUGUGAUCCACCCAUCUGGGCCUCCCAAAGUGCUGGGAUUACAGGCAUGAGCCACUGCACCCGGCCGGGGAUGAACAUUUUUAUAUGCUAAUCUUUGUCAGCAUCUGCUCAUUUCUAUAAAAGGAAUCAUUAGAAUUGGAAUUCCUAGGUCAUUUUGACCAAAAAGGAACAUUUUUAAAUCUCUUAAUAUUGCCAUAUGACAUCUUAGAAAGUUUACAUCAUUUUACACAAAUAAUUGUUUCCUUAUCGAUGUUCCAAACCUAGAGAACUUUUGGUCAUUCUGUGAUCUGUAAUUGGAGAAAUUUCCAUUGCUCUAGCAGCAUUUUAUACAUACUUAUCAAGAUGUAUUAUGAUUUAUACACAUUUAUCAAGAUGUAUUAUGUUUUACUUGCAUUUCUCCAAGUAAGCUCUGAAGUGGAAAACAGAACUUGUUUUACUCUUUGUAGCACAGUACUGAGAACAGUAACACCUAACAGGCCCUUUCUAGGUAAAUCUGCAGAAACAGUAAUUGUCUCAAUCUCAGUUUCCCUGUGGUAGACCAAAAUAAAGCUUUGCAUACCUAACCUAGGGAAGCUGCAUACAGUUGGAGAGCUGGAUUCAACUAAACCUGGCCUGACAGCUCUUCAACAUGUUUUUCUUUUCCAAGUUCCACAUUGCUCACUGUGUCCUUUUAACACUCCUGUUUUUUAUUUUAUCCAUCACACGAAGUUGUAGUUGGUUCUGCCUGCAGUGUUUCUCCAUGAUGUAAUAUAACCUCAUUAUAUACACUCAGGAGCCUGAGAAAUGAGUAUCACAAACCACAGAGUCUUCUUGUUGCUUAGUUACUAUCCUGCAUUUCCUGGAGACUUUACCUUGGCAAAGUAUAUGAUGCUACGUUUUAAUGAAUGUUGAUUGGUCACUGUAUGAUAAAUGCCAGGAAAAACAAUGAAUGAUAAAAAGAAGUGUAAAUCCCACUCUUCUGCCUAUAUCCCAGCUCCAUUUUCACGUCUUUUGGUAUCAGCCCCAGGAUUUGGGGUCUUCUGUUUGAAAAUGAGAUCAGUUCCGUAACAUCUGUAUAGCUUUGCUUGCUAUGGUACUGGGCUGGAAAGAGGCAGGUCAAAGCGAGUGCCCCCCUCACUGGUGUGCCCUGAGGAUGCAGAGGCCCUCUUUGCCUGGUGAUAACACCUUCAAUGCCCGUUAGGGGGCCCAAAAUUGCCAGUUUAUUAUCCCUUUGGGACUGAUGCCUUAAAAUCUCAUUUUGUCUUUGAGAAGUGGUAUUUGGAAUAUUCACACAUCAAAGUGUUAUCGUUCUCUGCUAGCACAGUACCAGCUAGUUUAUCUUAGCCAGCUGGCUUACCUCUCAAGGCACUAAAGGAACGGAAAAACACAGGGCAAUCUCUGUAAGCCUCGUUCCUUCACUUGGUAACCUCUGAAAAGCUAGAGAGAAAGGACCAGUGAGAGAACAGGAUCAGCUCUUGCUGGGGGUCCAGCCAGGAGCCACCAUGGAGGGCCUGGAGCACUUAGAGGAAAACAUGGGGACAUCAGGUAUGCAGGAGAUCAGGCAAAAAACAGUAAAGUCAGCUUAGGAAAGACUCGUACCUCUCACCCCCACUGCCUCAACCUCCUCCAAAGUGUAGAGUUCAUAGCUUUUCCUUGGGAAGCUUCUGUGUAUACAGUGCUCAACAGAAGAGAGGAACAGGAUUUAGGUUACUAUCUUCCAUACCCUAAAAGUGAACAUUGUAAUAUUGCAAAUACAGUAGCAGAAGGAAAGCACUUCUCAGGAAGUAAAAAUACAUCUACUCCUGCUAACAGUUUUCUCCAUUCACAAAAUAUUACUGAUUUUUUUAAAAUUUGGAAAGAAUAUUAAUAUUCAUAGAUGUUAGAUUAGUUGGGCAAAAUAUGCUAAAAAUUGCCAUUUAAUUUAUAAUAGUGAAAAACAAUGCAACCUAAAUGCCCAUGAAUGAUAACUAAUUACAUACAGUGGACUACAAUGGAAUUCUAUGAAGUCAUAAAAAUAAGGAUGUACAUCUGUAUUUAUUGUUAUAGAAAGAAAGCCACGAAAUAUUGUUGAGAGAGAAAGCAGAUUGCAAAACUGAAUAUAUAUGCAAAGAGAUGUUUUUAGGGAUAUUCACUGUUAAACAGUGAUUAACUUAGUUGACUUUUUUUUCCUCUGUUCCUUCUUUUUUCUUUUUUACUUUAAAUAUUUAUCUUUUUUAAAAGAAAUAAUACAUUUCCUCCCUCCAAAAAAGAAUAGCCUAGCGAAAUAUUUUUACUUCAAAUGCUUUUCCCCUUAUUAAUCUUUGUAUAAACCAUUGUGGUUUGCUAAAACAAGGAAGGUUGUAGAGUAGAAUCCAUGCCCACGUUAGAACAAAAUCCAGGCAGGAAGACACUUCAUACGUGGUUAUAAGACCAGGAGGACGAGGAGACAAAGGGAAGCAAUGGUGUUUGUUUGUUUGUUUGUUUGUUUUAAGAGACAGUGUCACUCUGUCACCCAGGUUGGAGUACAGUGGCACCAUCAUAGCUCAGUGCAGCCUCCAACCCCUGGGUUCCAGCGAUCCUCCCACCUAAGCCUCUCUAGUAUCUGGGACUACCGGUAUGCACCACCACAUCCAGCCAAUUUUUAAUUUUUCUUUUUUUGAGACAGGGUCUUGCUAUGUUGCCCAGGCUGGUCUCAAACUCCUAGGCUCAAGCAAACCUCCCAAAGCACUGGGAUUACACGUGUGAGCCACCACACCCGGCCUAGAAGCAAUGGUUCUGAUCCAGGAAAAGUGCAGCCUGGAAACUCAGCAAUCUGUACAGAAUCCUAGCUCUUAGACUAAAAGGCAUCAACUGGUACAAUUUCUUGCCUUUGGGCACUGAACGUGUUAGCUUCUAUUUUAUUUAACUUACUGUAAAAUUAUAUUAGCUAUGCUGCCACUUAAGCCAAGAUGCUUUCUGUCUAGUCACUUCGGUUCCAUCCUUUUGAGCGCCCUGCCGUUUCAUUGCCUCUCCUUUCUCAUUCCUCUCCCCAAGGCUGUACUUUGAGUAACUGUAUGUGCAUUUUCCUGUGCCUUUUCAUUAUUAAAACACUGUAAAAGGUAAUGUCUCCAAAAUGCAAACCAUAGUCUUCUCCAUUGAAAAAUAUUUUCCAGGCCAGGCACUCCACUGUGCCACUGCACUCCACCUGGAUGACAGAGUGAGACUCUGUCUCAAAAAAAAAACAAAAAACUCAUUAAACUGUAAAAUGGGCGCAUUUUAUUUUAUGUAAACUGUAUCUCAGUAAAGUUUAUUUAUUUAUUUUUGAGACAAAGUCUUGCCCUGUUGCCUAGGUUAAAGUGCAGUGGCAUAAUCAUGGCUCCCUGCAGCCUUGAACUCCUGGGCUCAAGCGAUCCUCCUACCUCAGCCUCCUCCCAAGUAUUUGGGACCACGGGCAUGUGCCACCAUGCCCAGCUAAUUUUUUUUUAAGAGAUGGCGUCUUGCUAUGUUGCCCAGGCUGGUCUCGAACUUCUGACCACAAGAGAUCCUCCUGUCUUGGCUUCCCAAAGUUUUGGGAUUACAGGCAUGAACCACCAGGCCUGACCAAAGUUGAUUUUAAAAAAUGAAAGGGGGGCCAAGCGCAGUGACUCAACCCUUAUAAUCCCAGCACUUUGGGAGGCCGAGGCGGGUGGAUCACCUGAGAUAGGGAGUUCAAGACCAGCCUGAUCAACAUGGAGAAACUCUGUCUCUACUAAAAAAUACAAAAUUAGCUGGGAGUGGUGGCGCAUGCCUGUAAUCCCAGCUACUCGGGAGGCCUCAGCUUGAACCCUGUAGGCAGAGGCUGCAGUGAGCUGAGAUCACGCCAUUGCACUCCAGCCUGAGCAACAAGAGCGAAACUCUGUCUCAAAAAAAAAAAAAAAAAGGGUCUGUGCUUGGUGGCUCACACCUGCAAUCCCAGCACUUUGGGAGGCCAAGGUGGGUGAAUCACCUGAGGUCAGGAGUUCGAGACCAGCCUGGCCAACGUGGUGAAACCCCUCUCUACUAAAAAUAAAAAAAUUAGCCAGGUGUGAUGGCGCACGCCUGUAGUCCCAGCUACUCAGGAGGCUGAGGCACAAGAAUUGCUUGAACCUAGGAGGCAGAGGUUGCAGUGAGCCGAGAUCAUGCCACUGCAUUCCAGCCUGGGUGACAGAGUGAGACUCCAUCUCAAAAAACAACAAAAAUGAAAGGGAAAUAAGAGUCAUUACCAAUAUAAUUAGGUUUAAAUUUUUAGUUAAAAUCAAAUUUUAACUGGGAUUGCCAAAAAUGUCCUUAACUUCAUAUCUCCAAAUAAAAUGUCUGCAGUUAAUUUAUGUUGUUUAUACAGCUAGCUAAUUCUCUAUAUUUUUAUAGUAUGUUGACACUUAAAAUUUCAAUCUCUUCUAGUGGUUCCAUGAGUGGGACUGAGGGGAUGAUGGGUGUUCUCAUUAUAGCCUUCAGAAGGCUGCCUAUAUAUAAGUGUGCACAAAUAACUAUUAUUCAGAGAAUUAGAAUCAUCACAAAAUAUCCUUUAUGAAGGAUAAAUAUAGGCUAAUUUAUCCUUUAUGACUGUUAAAUAUAGGCUAAUGUUUCUUUUAUUCUUCAGACCCAUUUCAACUUUAUAGAAAAAAAAGUAUGCACAAAAGCAGCACUCUAUAAUUAAAAAAAAUUCCUUAUUGGUCUUUUGGAUUUUGGUUCUGCAUAAGUAUGAGUUUCUCAUCAGGCCUCUCUAGACUACUAAAGCCUAAAGUGAUGCUUCCCCCAUCUCAGCUCUUAGAGGAAUUACUGGGUGUCUUGUUUAUUUGGCAAUUCCGUGCUUACAAACUCUUUUCAAUGAGAUCUUCAGCUCCUUGAGACCACAGUAGAUACCUACGUAUUUGUCGGUGUAAUUUUGUUGUGUUGAUUUACUGAAUUCAAAGGGUUUGUACAAAUACUUUGUUUACAGGGUUUCAUUACAAAUCCAAAUAAGCUCAUAUGCUUAGUAAUUCCAAAAAUGUUAUAGGUAUUCAGAUUAGCAUUGCUCAUUCAUGCCAUUUAAUUUACAGAGCUCAGCUGCAGUAAUUUUCUCCAGUGGAUGAUGUAAGGAAGGCAUUGGCAGAGGAGUAAGAGACUUGGCUUCAGAGUGGGCAGUAAUAGGGCUAAAUCUGGUUUUACAAAGCAGGUACUGUAAAGCUCUCAUUGCCUUUCUGAGGACAAGGCUUUGAGCUAUGAGUGCCAGGGUCGUCUGUCUAAGUGGAGGCUUCUUAAAGGAAUUGAGCCUCGUUUCCUGGGUUUGAGGUGUAUUCUUUUUCACAUUCCCUUUGUACACCAAAUAUAUUUAGUAUUUAUUAUCUUUGAAGUUUAGACCUUUGGAAUUUUUUUUUUUUUUUGAGGCAAAGUCUCACUGUAGCCCAGGCUGGAGUGCAGUGGUGUGAUCUCAGCUCAUUGCAACCUCUGCCUCCUAGGUUCAAGCGAUUCUCCUAUAUCAGCCUCCUGAGUAGCGAGGACUACAGGCACGUGCCCACCAUGCCCUGCUAAUUUUUGUAUUUUUAGUAGAGACAGGGUUUCACCAUGUUGGCCAGGCUGGUCUCAAACUCCUGACCUCAGGUGAUCUGCCUUCCCUGGCCUCCGGACAUGCUGGGAUUACAGGUGGGAGCCACCACGCCAGGCCACAGUUUGAUGAGUUUUGAGAAAGUAAUAUACGCAUGUAACCACCAUCACCACAAUCAAGAUCUAGAACAUUUCCAUCACCCCAAAAUUCCCUGGUACUCGUCCCUGGUCCCAGGCAAGCCCUGAUCUGUUUUCUGUCACUGUGGAUCAGAUUUGUCUUUUCUAGAGUCUCAUAAAAAUGUGAUCUUAUAAAAUGUAUAGACUCUUGUGUGUAAGGUUUCUUUUCCUCAGCAUAAUGUUUUUAGACUUGUCUAUGUUGCAUGAAUGAGUGGUUCAUUUCUGUUUAUCACUGAGUAUUUUUCCAGUGUAUGUAUAUACCACAAUUUGUUUAUAUACCACAAAUGUUGAUGGACAUUUAGGCUUUGUCCAGUUUUGUCUAUUAUGAAUAAAGCCAUUAUGAACAUCUAUGUACAAGUUUUUGUGUGGACAUGUUUUCUCUUGGGUAAAUAUCUAGGAGUAAGACUACUGGGUUGUAUGCUAAGUGUAUGUUUAAUUUUAAAAGAAAUGGCAGCCGAGUGCGGUGGCUCAUGCCUGUAAUCUUAGCAAUUUGGGAGGCCGAGGCGGGCAGAUCACCUGAGGUCAGGAGUUCGAGACCAGCCUGGCCAACAUGACGAAACCCUGUGUCUACUAAAAAUACAAAAAAAAUUUGCCACGCAUGGUGGCACACACCUGUAAUCCCGCUACUUGGGAGGCUAAGGCAGGAGAAUCGCUUGAACCUGGGAGGUGGAGGUGAGACUGAGCCAAGCUCACACCACUGUACUCCAGCCUGAGCGACAGAGCGAGACUCCAUCUCAAAAAAAAUAAAAAAUGGCCAAACUGUUUUCCAAAGUCCUGGUACCAUCUUACAUCCUACCGGUAAAGUUAUGAGAGUUGUAGUUGCCCUACAUUCUCACCAAUACUUGCUAUUAUCAGUCUUUUUAAUUUUCACCAUCCUAAUGGAUACGUAGUGGUAUCUCACUGUGGUUUUACUUUGCAUUUCCCUGAUGGCUAAUGAUGUUGACAUAUUUUUGUGUGCAUGUUGGAUACUAAUAUAUCUUUGUAAAGUGCCUAUUCAGUGUCUUUUCCAAUUUAGUUGGGUUGCUAAAAAGUCUUCAUAUAUUCCAGAUACAAUACCUUUGGCAGGUAUGUAGAUAUGUGUUGUGUGACUAUUUUCUCCCAGUCUGUGACUUGUCUUCAUUUUGUUAGCAUUGUCUUUUGAAGAGCAGAAGUCUUUAACUUUGUAAAAGUCUAAUUUUUUGCUAUCUUCUUUUAUAGCUCUUGUCUUUUUUUGUUUUUUUGUGUGUGUGUAUUCAAUUAUCUAAGAACUCUUUGACUCCCUUCAGAUCAUGUAAAUGUUCUCCUGUUUUAUUUUAGAAAUUUUAAUUUUACCUUUUUUUUUUUUUUUGAGACAGAGUCUUGCUCUGUCACCCAGGCUGGAGUGUAGUGACGUGAUCUCAGCUCACCGCAGCCUCUGCCUCCCAGGUUCCAGCAAUUCUGCCUCAGCUUCCCAAGUAGCUGGGACUACAGGAGGCAAGCACUGCGAUGCCCAGCUAAUUUUUGUAUUUUUAGUAGAGACAGGGUUUCACCAUGUUGGCCAGUAUGGUCUUGAUCUCCUGACCUGGUGAUCCACCCGCUUCGUUCUCCCAUAGUGCUGGGAUUACAGGCGUGAGCCACCGCACCCAUCCAAGUUUUACCUUUUAAGCUUAGGUACAUGAUCCAAUUUGAGGUGAAUUUUGUGUAUGAGUAAGUUAAUAAUCAAUGUUCAUUUUUUCCCAUAUGGAUAUCCAGUUUUUCCGGUACCAUUUGUUGAAAAGACUGUCUUUCCCCUAUUGACUUACUGUGGCCACUUUGUCAAAAAUUACUUGCCCAUAGACAUGCGGGUUCAUUUAUUUUGUUCCAUUGAUCCAAAUGUUGAUCCUUUAAUAAUAAUGUAGCUUUAUAGUCAGUCUUGAAAUUUGAUAGUUUGAAUAUUCCAACUUUGUUGUUCUUUUUCAAAAAUUUUUUGCAUUCUAAGUCCUUUGUGUUUUUAUAUAAAUUUUAGAAUAAGUUAUGUAAGUGCCUGCUGGGAUUUUCUUUUUUUUGAGACAGGGUCUUACUAUGUCACCCAGACUGAAGUGCAGUGGCAUGAUCACAGGUCAUUGCAUCCUCAACCACCCAGACUCAAGCAAUCCUCCUGUCUCAGCCUUCCAAGUAACUGAGACCACAGACAAAGCCUCACUCUGUCACCCAGACUGGAGUGCAGUGGUAUAAUCAUAGCUCACUACAGCCUUGACCUCCUGAGCUCAAGCAGUCCUCCUGUCUCAGCCUCCCAAGUAGCUGGGAUGACAGUGUGCACCACCACACCCAGCUAAUUUUUUUUUUUUUGGUCUUGCUGUGUUGCCCGGGCUGGACUCAAGUGAUCUUCCCUUCUCAGCCUCUCAAAGUGCUGGAAUUACAGGCAUGAGCCACCGUGCCCAGCCAGAGGUAUUGUUUUUGAUACUAUAGUAAAUAUUUUAUUUAAAUUUCCAGGUGGUUAUUGCUAGUAUGCAGAAAAUAUUUUUUUGCAUUAACCUAUGCUAAAGUCACUUACUAUUUUGAUUUGCCUUUCAUAAAGAUUCCUUAAAUGUUUCUACAUACACAAUCAUGUCAUCUGCAGAUAGACAGUUUUAUUUCUUCUUUUCAAUCUGUAUGGUUUUCUUUGCCUUUUUCUUGCCUAUUGUACUGGCUAGGACUUCCAGUGUAAUGUUUAAUAGAAAUCCUGAGACUGGACAUCCUUGCCUUAUUUUCAAUCUGAGGAGAAAGCAUUCAGUUGUUCAUCAUUAACAGACAAUGUUAGCUGAAGGUUUUUCAGAGCUUGUGUACUCUACCAGGAUGAAGAAGGUCCCUUCUAUUUCCAGUUUGCUAAGAGUUUUAAAAUUGUGAAUGGAUGGCGAAUUUUGUUAUUUUUCUGCAUCUAAUAAGAGAAUCAUAUAUGGUUUUUCUCCUUUGUUCUGUUAAUAUGGUAGGUAUGUUGAUUUUUUUAGUGUUAAAACAAGCUUGCAUUCUUGGGAUAAACCCCACUUAGUCAUGAUGCAUUAUCCUUGUUAUAUAUUGCUGAAUUCAGUUUGCCAAAAAUUUAACUAAGGAUGUUUGCAUCUGUAUUCAGUGAGGUAUACUGUAUUCAGUGAGGUAUUCCUUUCAAUGUCAUUGUCUGGGCUCAGACAAUGACUAGAGAAGUCAUCUUUCUUUGUUUUUAGAAUGAGUUUGUGUGUGUUUGUUAUUAUUUUUCCUUAAAUAUUUGAUAGAAUUUACUGCUGAAGCCACCUCAGUCUGAAGUUUCUUUGCAGGAAGUUUUAAUUCAUAAUUAAAUUUCCUUAGCAUAUAUAGGGCUUUUUUCUUUUUUCUUUUUUUGAGACAGAGUGUCACAGUGUCUCCCGGGCUGGAGUGCAAUGGCGCGAUCUCAGCUUACUGCAGCCUUUGCCUCCCGGGUUCAAGCAAUUCUCCUGCCUCAACCUCCCAAGUAGCUGGGAUCACAGGCGCCUACCACCAUGCCCAGCUAAUUUUUUGUAUUUUCAGUAGAGACAGGGUUUCACUAUGUUGGCCAGGCUGGUCCCAAACUCCUGAGAUGAGGAUAAUUUUUUGUAUUUUUAGUAGAGACGGGGUUUCACUAUGUUGGCCUGGCUGGUCUCAAACUCCUGACCUCGUAAUUCACCCACCUCGGCCUCCCAAAGUGCUGGGAUUACAAGUGUGAGCCACCGUGCCUGGCCUUCUUUCUAGUUUCUUGAAUCACUAUGGUUAAUCUGUGGCAUUCAACCAAUUUGUCCAUUUUAUCUAUGCCAUUGAAUUUAUUUACAUAAUUAUAAUCUUUUUUUGUUUUAAUGUCUGCAAGAUCUGUGGUGAUAUCUAUUUCAUUCCUAAUGUUGGUAAUUUUUUCUUUUCCUGCUUGCUCUUAUUGUUUGUUUGUUUGUUUGUUUGUUUUGAGAUAGGUUCUCAUUCUGUCACCCAGACCAGGCUGGAAUACAGUAGCGAUCAUAACUCACUCAGCCCCAAACUCCUGGUCUCAGGCAGUCCUCCUGCCUCAGCGUUUCAAAUUGUUGGGAUUACAGGCAUGAGCCACUGUGUUCAGCCUCUUUUAAUUCCUAUAUGUAUUAGCCAGUUGAGGUGGCUUGCUUGAACCCAAGAGUUCUGGGCAACACAGCAAGACCUCAUCUCUACAAAUAAUUUUAAAAAUUAGCUGGGGCAUGGUGGCGCACACCUCUGGUCUCAGCUACUUGAGAGGCUGAGACAGGUGGAUCACUUGAGCCCAGGCAGUCAAGGCUUCGGUGAGCCGUGAUCCCGCCACUGCACUCCGGCCCAGGUGACACUAUGAGACUCUGUCUCAAAAAAAUAAACUAUAGAAAAUCUGAGUAGCCCUAUAUGUAGUAAGGAAAUUUAAUUAUCAGUUAAACUGUCACCUGGGUAACAGAGUGAGACCACGUCUCAAGGGAAGGGGAGGGGAGGGGAGGGUCUUGUAUUUAUUAUUUCCUUCCUUUUACUUGGUUUUACUUUGGUUUAAUUUGGUUUACAUUGGUUUAAUUUGUUCUUCUUUUACUAUUUUUUUUUUACUGAAUCAUCAUUAUUGUUCUACCACUCGAAUCACCGCAUUGCUGUUGCUAAAUGACCAAUAGACCAACAGAUCCUUCCAUAGAAACAAAAAAAAGCCCUUGCUUUUCAAUAUUACCAAAGGGAAACAUAUAGUCAGAACUGCAAGAAAACUGCCUUGUGAUCCGGCUUCUGUCACAUUUUAGUUUACAAUACAGGAGCAUAAAGUAGCUACUCAACUACCUCGAAAAUAAGAGAAUCAUUUACCUUUCUGUAUAUAACCUAAUUAAAACCAUGUCAGAUCCAGCAAAACUGAUUUUCAUCUCUCCUCAGUAGAUAUAGGAGUAUAUAUUGAUAUUUCUACUUCAUGACUAGAUAGGGGACUAAAUUAAAAUUCGCUACUCAGUUCUCAGUUGUAAGGCCCACAGUUGCACAUGGGUAGGUGGGUAGUUGCACAUGCACAGAGUUGGUGGUCACAACUCUGCUUUCUUGCCCUUCUGCUUAACAUGGAGCUAUUUAAUCUUAUUUAUUUAUUUAUUUAUUUAUUUAUUUAGAAAUAGGGUCUGCUCUGUCACCUUGGCUGGAGUGCAGUGGCACAAUCAUGGCUCACUGCAGCCUAGAACUCCUGGGCUCAAGUGAUGUUCCCACCUUAGCCUCCUGAGUAGCUGGGACUAUAGACACACACAACCACGCUCUGCCAAUUUUGAAAUUUUUUGUAGAAAUGAGGUCUCCCUAUGUUGCCCAGGCUGGUCUUGAACUCCUGGCCUCAAGCAGUCCUCCCACCUCAGCCUCCCAAGUGCUAGGAUUACAGGCAAGAGCCACAGCGCCAGGCUGGAACUAUGUAAGAUAGCACUUAGCCCUGCAUGUAUGUGUUACUAACAAUGGUUGUGUAGAUCACUCCUCCAAAGGGAAAGUCUCUCUAGAUGGGUUUUUGCCCCAAUUAAGCAAUAGCUUCCUCCAAACGGUGCUCACCUAUCCAUUGACUGCGAUAUUUGAAGACAAAGUGAGUCUUCACUCACCAUCACCAUUCCCCACGUCCCCUUUCCCUGGGAGCGCACACACUUAGGAGGGCAGUGCUGCUUCCUCCACAGCAGUGACAGCUGGCCAGGAUUUAUGAAAUGUCUCUCAAGGAAAUGUGCUCUCUUCCAUGCUCAGAGAUGCCACGUGGUCACAGUGCAGUCUUCAUGCAGUUGUAGCUUAGACUUCCAGAUUCAAAGGUCAGAAACCAGCUUGGAAUUUUCCUGGUCCUAACUCAAACCUGGCAUAAGUCAAAGUUUAAAUCCAACAGGUUCCAAAGGAAAUCAGAUUAAACACAUGUGCUGCUUGGUCAUGCAAGGACCCUGGAGUAGAAAAGUAGGUAUUGCCGUCUUGGUCAUGAAAGCCACAACAUCACCAGCAAGAGGACAGGCACUUAGAUCUGUUCACUGCUGUGCCCUCAACUCCUGGAAUAGGACCUGGUGCAGAGUGUGAUCAGAAAGUAUUUAUUGAGUUUCAGGUACAGUGGCUCAUGCCUGUAAUCCUAACACAUUGGAAGACCAAGGUGGGAGGAUCACUUGAGCCCAGGAGUUUGAGACCAGCCUGGGUGACACAGGGAGACCCUAUCUCUAUAAAAAAUAAACUUAAAAAAAAAUUGGGCCCUGCACAAUGGUUCACGCCUGUAAUCCCAGCUCUUUGGGAAACUGAAGCGGAUGGAUCAUCUGAGGUCAGGAAUUCGAGACCAGCCUGGCCAACAUGGUGAAACCCCCAUCUCUACUAAAAAUAGAAAAAUUAGCCGGGCGUGGUGGCGGGCACCUGUAAUCCCAGCUACUCGGGAGGCUGAGGCAGGAGAAUCACUUGAACCCAAGAGGUGGAGGUUGCAGUGAGGCGAGAUUGCACCACUGCACUCCAGCCUGGGCAACAGAGCGAGACUUGGUCUACACGCUUUGUAAUCUAAAACAUUCUCUACCAAUACCUCAAUCAGUGAAUUCUUGCUUUAUUGAUACAUUCUAGUAUUCAGUUGUGAUUUUAAUAUGCUAUUUUGGUACUUUCUGCUUUCAGUUUUCAUUGCUGUGGCUAUUGCCUUAAACAGAAACAAAAAACUAAAACAAUUUUACAACCAUCCAAAAGAGGCUUGGAAACUUUUUUUUGGCUGGAUAUCCAUAGCACAAUUUAAUUCAGUAAACAUAAACAGUUAAAAUUAUUCCAGUACACAACCAUGUUUUAAAAAAGAGAUUACACCCAAUUUUGGCAACAACACCCAGGAAAUAAGCAUUCUUUUACAUUUGGUUCAAACUUUCUGAAUGGCAGUUGUGCAACACUUGUUGUGAAAAACUUUAGAAUAUUAUAAACAUGUUAAUCCUGUAUUUCCAUUUCUGUGAAUUCAUCCAAAAGAAAUAACCAUGGAUAUGGGUAGAGACAGAGCCAUAUGGAAUGCACACUGCAGUGGUGAACACAUGGCCCAGCUCUGCCAUCAAGGAGAAGGUGAGAACAUGGGGGAAGAUUUUAUCGAAGUUUCUUUUCUGGGGCAUAUGCUCAGGUUAAACACCUGCUCUGUAUCUCUAGCUUCUGACUCCUACCCCUGGCCAGCUCUGUUACUCUAGUACACUGCUAGGCAGGCAGAGUAUGGCCAAAGUAUUCACAACAGUGCAUCACUAAAUCAACUGGGAUCCACACAAUGGAAUAUCCUAAUGCAUCAUUAAAAAUCACAUUGUAAAAGAAGAUUUUAUAACAGAAAAAAAUGCACUGUAUAUGAUACAUUUUUAAAAUGUUACUUAUGCCAGUCACAAUAAAAGACAAUUACACUUAUAUGGGAUAGAGUAGUCAAUAUUAUAGAGACAGAAGGUAGAAAUGGGUCUGGGUGGAAAUUAGAAUGAGAUGUUCUUAGCAUUCCAGUUUUACAAGAUGAAAAGAGUAACGGAGACAGAUGGCAGUGGUGGUUGCAUGACAUUAUGAAUGUACAUAAUUAAAAAUGGGUAAGAUGGCACAGUGAGAUACCAUCUCACACCAGUCAAAAUGGCUAUUACUAAAAAGUCAAAAAAAUAACAGAUGCUGGGGAGCUUGUAGAGAAAAGGGAAUGCUUAUACACUGCUAGUGGCAGUGUAAGUUAGUCCAGCCACUGUGGCAAUUCCUCAAAGAACUUAGAACUAUCAUUUGACCCAGCAAUCCCAUUACUGGGUAUAUACCCAAAGGAAUAUAAAUUGUUCUGCCUUAAAGACACAUGCAUGUGAUUGUUCAUUGCAGCACUCUUUAUAAUAACAAAGACAUGGAAUCAACCUAAAUGCUCAUCAACAGUAGACUGGAUAAAGAAAAUGUGGUUCAUAUACACCAUGGAAUACUAUGCAGCCAUAAAAAAGAAUGAGAUUAUUUCCUUUGCAGGAACAUGAAUGGAGCUGGAGGCCAUCAUCCUUAGUGAACUAACACAGGAGCAGAAAACCAAAUACCACAUGUUCUCAUGUGUAAGUGGGAGCUAAAUGAUGAGAACACAUGGACACAAAGAGGGGAACAACAGACACUGAAGCCUCCUUGAGGGAGGAGGGUAAGAGGAAGGAGAAGAUCAGAAAAGAUAACUACCAGGUACUAUGGUAGCUUAGUACCUGGGUGAUGAAAUAAUCUGUACACCCAACCCUCAUGACAGAAGUUUACCUGUGUAACAAACCUGCACAUGUAUCCCUGAAACUAAAAGUUUUUUAAAAAGUUAUUUAAUAUAUAUAUAUUUUUUUGAGACGGAGUUUUGCUCUUGUUGCCCAGGCUGGAGUGCGGUGGCGCAAUUUCGGCUCACCACAACCUCCGCCUCCCAGGUUCAAGCUAUUCCCCUGCCUCAGCCUCCCUAGUAGCUGGGAUUACAGGCUUGUGCCACCACGCCGGCUAAUUUUGUAUUUUUUGUAGAGACGGGGUUUCUCCAUGUUGGUCAGGCUGGUCUCGAACUCCCGACCUCAGGUGAUCCACCCCCCUCGGCCUCCCAAAGUGCUAGGAUUACAGGCAUGAGCCACUGCGCCCGGCAAAAAGUUAUUUAAUAUUAAUGGGACAAUACUCAUUGCAAGAAUCAGACUUCAAUUGCUAGCAUAAGUAAAUGACAGGCAGGAGAUAUUGAAAAUGCAAUCUUAUAGACAUUCAAGGAGAGGACGCAGGACAUUUCUGUGUCAUAAAUGUACUAUGGAAAAUAAAAAUGAGAAAAAUGGAAAUAAAAUACAAGAAAAGGUUAUGAUAAAUUUCAUAUUAUUUUACCACAAUAAAAAAAUUUUAAUAAAUUAUAAAUGGUGUGAUAUGUUUUGCCUGUGUUCCACCCAAAUCUCAUCUUGAAUUAGAGCUCCCACAAUUCCCACGUGUUGUGGCUGGGACCCUGUGGGAGAUAAUUGAAUCAUGGGGGCAGUUUACCCCAUACUGUUCUCUUGGUGGUGAAUAAGUCUCAUGAGAGUUGAUGGUUUGAUAAGGGGUUUCCCCUUUUGCUUGGCUCUCAUUCUCUCUUGACUGCCACCAUGUAAGAUGUGCCUUUUGCCUUCCACCAUGAUUGUGAAGCCUCCCAGCCACAUGGAACUGUGAGUCCAUUAAACCUUUUUCUUUACAAAUUACCCAGUCUCGAGUAUGUCUUUAUCAGCAGUGAGAGAACAGACUAAUAUGAGUGUGAUCUAAUUAACAUAAAGGGAGAAUGAGGA